UUGCGAAGUGGGUAUUUCAGGUUUCGGGACGAGAGGGAUUUGACCCGAAGGAAUGGGCCUGAUUUGCCCUCUUCUUCCGACAGAAAAUUGGGAACGUUGCUUCGUCUGUCAAUUAAAUGGAAGAGCUUUUCCGGAGGACGGGACGCGUGGAGUGAGUGUGAAUUCUACGGCAGCCAGGAGGGUGAUGCAAUUUGGGUUUUGUCCAGGUUUCUGUGUGGACUUCACUUUCGCGAACUGUUAUCUGGUCUGAGAUACAGCUGCAAUAUUGAAAAGAUGUUGCAGGGGCAUACUUGAAAUUGUAGUCCCAGUUCGAAUGUGAGAAGCGGUCCAGGAUUUCUUCACUCAACUGGAUUGCUCAAAUCACCCCAUUAACUAUGUGUCGAAAUUUGUGACGCUACAUGGUUAAAUGCUGCUCGACUUUGGGUAAUGGUUGUAAUGAUUUGCACAUCGAUUGUUUCAUUAGCAUUAGCUCUCAUCAUGGGUGUGGGGUGCUUUUUGCAGGCCCUUGGGAUCCAGGAAUUUUUUAAGUAUGCGAGCAAUCCACUCAUUUCACAGAGGUUAUAAAUGUGACAUCGUAUUUGAAUUCUGAAACUCAUGUAUAUGAAGCUCCAUAGCUAGUUCAAACCGAUGCAACUCACAGUAUGCCUUCGGCUGCUACCCUGUAGGUAUGGAUUUGUUUUGUGUGCAGGUUGUAGUUGAUCAAGAGUUCGGGCGGGAGGAAAAAUCACGAAGGUCACUGGUUCUUCACAAUUCAGUGCUCACAUGCGCUUGUCAAUGAAAGACUCAUGGUUCUCAAUUAUUUAAAAUCUGAAUCCACUAUUUUCUCACAAAAAAUUCAGUACAGUUGUAAUUCGGGACCAAUAAGAGUAGCAUGGAAAAUUUCGUUAUUAAAUGCUCGACGUGGCUGUGGUCGAGAUUUUUAGUGGAGUUUGUGUUCUAGGACUGACGAAUCCGACUCAAAUUCAAUAACUUUUAGCUGGUCGUCAGAGCAAAGCCUCGGUUGACCAACUUCACAGGUGCAAACGAGCAUAUUUUACCCUAUUUGAAGAUCUUUUGCGAAACUUUGACUCCAUCUCACGGCUUUUGCAGAAUAUAACGAUGGUUCUGUUCGGUGCUUUUGGCUCCUCAUGGUACAGCAAACACAACGCCCACCUGUUCGUUGUGUGUGAAAGUACUAAGCAGUGAUAUCUUGGACAUCAUCAAUAGCCUCAAAAAUGUGUUUCCAUAACGUCAGGUGACUUCUGCCGCAUCGUGCGGAACGAAAGACAGAACUUGAGAAGAGUCGAUUGUUUUGAUAGAAUCUCACUGAUGUAAGAGGCGUGAUUGCACCGCGAGGCCGAUCAUCGAUUCGGUUCUUAGAUAAAAAGGCGGCUCCUAAUCCCACCUCGAUGGCGCUUGCGGAGCUCUCAGAGUUUUCUCGAAAAAAUCACGGACAAUCAGUCGGGCAUAUUCGGCGGUUCCAAACCAGCGGAACACCGAAACUAAUUCACGAGGCAGUAGUCCAAGUACUUCCGGUGCUACAUUAGAUGUGAACCUGAAAAACAAGCACAACAUCUUCAUUGGCAUUAUUUACUUGUUGUCUGGAAAGCUCUCGAUAGCGAGCCCCUGGUCUCGGUUGACCCCAUUGCCUGAUCAACCUGAAGCAGCUGCCACAGACUCGAGGUCGACCAUAACAAAACAAACAAUCCAUAGUCUUCGCCGUAGCGUGUCUCUUUGCAGCCUUGCUCUUAAUCCUCCUCCUCCACAUCCACGUGAGAGUGGUGCUGGCAUGACCAAGAAUCGGGUGUUGCAACCUUUACUUCAUCAGCUCUGACAUUGAUACCAUUCAUCACUUGUUGAAGUACAACAUCUGAGAAAGUACUAGAGAUUUGCUGACAUGCUGCAACAAGAGCACUAACAAGUUGAAUUUUCUCCAUUUUCAUAUCUUCUAUCUUGCUUAUGUUUGCUUUCUUGUAGUACCCAUAUCAGCUGUUCAACCUUUCUUCCUUCUCUAUCACCAAAAGUAGCAAUUUGUUUUGUCUACAAUUCUCAUCCUCAGUCUUGAUGGUAUACUGUUUAUCAGUACAUGCUAUAGCUUCGUCGAGAAUCUCCUUUGAUUGUUGCCUAGAUUCUCAUACUUGCAUGAUACGAAUGUUAAUAUCUGAUCAAAAUCAAAUCCUUCUAGCUUUAGAUGCUCAAGCUCUGGAUCGAUUUGAACUUCGGAGUAUCCAGGGAAUGUUUUGGACAUGUUACUUGUUUCACAAAUAUUUAUCCUUAGUGCUUUCUCUUCA